rnacentral:rRNA from 1 species
UUAAAUUGAAGAGUUUGAUCAUGGCUCAGAUUGAACGCUGGCGGCAGGCCUAACACAUGCAAGUCGAACGGUAACAGGAAGCAGCUUGCUGUUUCGCUGACGAGUGGCGGACGGGUGAGUAAUGUCUGGGAAACUGCCUGAUGGAGGGGGAUAACUACUGGAAACGGUAGCUAAUACCGCAUAACGUCGCAAGACCAAAGAGGGGGACCUUCGGGCCUCUUGCCAUCGGAUGUGCCCAGAUGGGA